CGGAGGGUGCGAGCGUUGUCCGGAAUCGACUGGGCGUAAAGGGCGCGUAGGCGGCUCAUUAAGUUGCCGGUGAAAUCCCGGGGCUCAACUCCGGGAAGUCUGGUAAGACUGAUGAGCUCGAGCACGGUAGAGGCAGAUGGAAUUCCCGGUGUAGCGGUGGAAUGCGUAGAGAUCGGGAAGAACACCAGUGGCGAAGGCGGUCUGCUGGGCCGUUGCUGACGCUGAGGCGCGACAGCGUGGGGAGCAAACAGGAUUAGAUACCCUGGUAGUCCACGCCAUAAACGAUGGACACUAGGCGUCGGGGGGAGCGACCCUCCCGGUGCCGUCGCUAACGCAGUAAGUGUCCCGCCUGGGGAGUACGGCCGCAAGGCUG
rnacentral:rRNA from 1 species